GAUGAACGCUGGCGGCGUGCCUAAUACAUGCAAGUCGAGCGAAUGGAUUAAGAGCUUGCUCUUAUGAAGUUAGCGGCGGACGGGUGAGUAACACGUGGGUAACCUGCCCAUAAGACUGGGAUAACUCCGGGAAACCGGGGCUAAUACCGGAUAACAUUUCGAACCGCAUGGUUCAAAAUUGAAAGGCGGCUUCGGCUGUCACUUAUGGAUGGACCCGCGUCGCAUUAGCUAGUUGGUGAGGUAACGGCUCACCAAGGCAACGAUGCGUAGCCGACCUGAGAGGGUGAUCGGCCACACGGGGACUGAGACACGGCCCAGACUCCUACGGGAGGCAGCAGUAGGGAAUCUUCCGCAAUGGACGAAAGUCUGACGGAGCAACGCCGCGUGAGUGAUGAAGGCUUUCGGGUCGUAAAACUCUGUUGUUAGGGAAGAACAAGUGCUAGUUGAAUAAGCUGACACCUUGACGGUACCUAACCAGAAAGCCACGGCUAACUACGUGCCAGCCGCCGCAGUAA
rnacentral:rRNA from 1 species